GCUGUGAUCCUCUGGGCCUCCAGGAAGCCUGGCCUGGAAAAGGGCAGAGGGCGGGGCGGUGAUUGUCCAAAAGUUCUGGUGGGCCUGUGCAUUGUUGGCUGUGUGAUGGAUGAGAAUUGUCAAGCUGGAGAAAAAUGUUGCAAGUCAGGCUGUGGCCGCUUCUGUGUCCCACCAGUCCUGCCCCCAAAACUGACCACGAACCCCAACUGGACUGUGAGGUCUGAUUCUGAAUUAGAGAUCCCGGUGCCCUAGCUGUGCUGAUUUGUCUGGAGCUUCUUUGGUAAUUCUGGAAGCUUUUCCUGGCAGUCAAGAGGGUGACAUCCUGGGGCUUGUGACAUUUCCAGGGGCACUCAUGGCCCUCUCUGCUCUGCUUCUCCUCCUGCCACUGACCAGAGCAUGGGAAAUAGCCCUGGAUUGGGCAGUGGGUGUGUGGUGCUUCUCUUUCCCAAUAAAGGCUGGUGCUGA
rnacentral:sRNA from 1 species